rnacentral:lncRNA from 1 species
GGGAGGAGGGAACUAGGCCUACUAAACUCUACCUCCACUACGGUAUAGCUUCGACUGGAUUCCCCACUAUACACUACGAGAAGGGUAUUGGCCUUUCCCAAAACAAAGGCACUUGCUGGCAUGAAGACUUCCGCUCGUACAUACUUUUCUUUCCGUUUCAACUUCAACCGCUAUCGAUAACAUCUAAAAAGCUGCUAAAGCCCUACUCGCCUCAAUUACAUCGAGCCUAGCUUUACGGGUCAAAACCAACCCCAUUAGGGGCUAUGGAAAGAGACGCUUCCUUGCUUCAGGGGCUCUCGAGAACGAAUUGGGACUGAGACUUCCCUACCACUACCCUUUCUCAAGCUGGAAAUGGGGAACUUGUUUUUGGAACGGCCUUUGAUCUUAGGCUCGCAGCGACUAGGUGCGGACCCUUGAAACUAUAUCGGGGACGAAACUCUUCUUUUAACGCCCAAAGAUAGGCCUCUGCAGCCCUUUCUAAUGAAGAUGGUGCAUAGGCCUAGCGAAAAGCUGUUGUCGUCAUUUCUGCUCUUUGCAUCUUCCCCGACCCCUCGUCACUGCUUUCUGAUCAUGUCUCUUAGAGAGAGAAUCUUUUGAAGCUGAGAUGUACAAUCUGAGGGAGUCUGGUCUUUUUUCAAUUGAAUCACUAGUCUACUUAUUCUCACACGAACGAUUACUUUAGGGGAAGACAACGGUUUCUGUUUUCUUCAUAUUCAGGAUGAUCUUUCUACCCCACUGCUAAUGUGGAUUACUCUUAUAUAGGAUAGGUAAGGCACCCAGUACUAUUAGCUAGUUUCUACCCAUCUCUCUAGGUUGGCAUCGAGGGAGUGAUCCCUAGAUCAUGAGACUUGGUUAGUCUCGUGGAUGAGGUCCGGGACCUUUAUUCUACUGUAAGUCCCAUAAAGGUACAGAAAGCAUCAAAGCAGAGGAAUAGCUAUCUUUGAUAAAGAAGAAGAGCAGCAAAGCAGCUAAGCAGGAAUGAACCUUGUCUAAUAGUAUACCUUCUUCGAUCUCCCGAGGAAAGACUCCCAGGUAGCAGUAGGCAAGUAGUUAAUCAUAUCCCAUUCUCUAACUAUAACUCCGAGUGAGCUUUUCAAGGCUAUGACGAGGUGCGAAGCGAAGCAAGGGUCCCAAUUCUCCUGCAGUUUCGGAAGUUGGCUUCCUUUACCGAGGUUAGUUAGUUUUCUAGGAUUUGCAUCCGGGUUAGCUCCUUUUCCUUGAGUCCAAUGAGGAUAAAGAUUGAGUAGUCUUAGCCUCUAUCUCCCCAACAGCUUCAACCUAUCUUACUAUGCUGUUGUUCUUUGAAGGUAAGAAUAGAUUAGGACAGGUGGAAUGGAUUCCAGCAGUAGGAUGUUAGGCAUCAGGGUGUGCUAUCUUAGAGAGGGCCUUUCUAACAUCCCGAGUUAGCCCUAGUUUCCUGCUGCUAAACUCUUCCCCGCUUCCUUUCCUUUUUCUAACACAGACUGAGACGGUGUUGACGAAGUUGCUUCUAGGAUCCUAGCCAAAGGUUUCCCAGGAAGUAGUAGCCCCUGAGGAAGCCGAAGGCAUACCAGAUAAGGAUAAGUAGAGUUGGUAUUGAGUUCAUGGAAGACUCAUAAGAAAAGGUAUUCAGUCUGAUAGUGCUUUAACUCAUCCCGUCAUUUAUUAGGAUUGAGAAGGCAAUCGGACUUAAAGAGAAGACUUAAAGAAGCUAACAGCAGAUGUGAGUUGUAGCUAACAGGUAAUCCAAUAUUCAGAAUGUGAAAUUAAGUCACUCUGGAGGCAUGAUUAUAUGAUUGAAUGAUUCAAGCCUGCUAAUCCGAGCUAAGAACAGGAAAUGUCAGUGAAGAGAGCAUUAGAGAGUAGUGAUUCAUGGUUGAUGCAUGGGAGAAGAUACAAGGGAAGCUAGCCGUCAGAGAUUCUUGCUAAUCAACAAGUGACGCAUUCCUUUCCCCUGGUUCUGCUAGCUCACCUCCUAGCGUGCCUUAUUAACUAACUUACGAGUGACUCGCGCAUUAUCCUUGAGCUACUUCUUUCCUUGCUUCUUAGUUUGUCUAGGAGCAGGAGUAAGAAGUCAUAAGUAGUGGUGAAUCCGUCUAGCUGUCAGCUUAAAUGGUAGUUGUUUAUUCUCACCCGGUAGCUGCUUUUAGUGAAUAAUAUCUCUUGCUUGGAGCUUCCUUCGACCUUUUCGAGAAUGAUGUAUUCCUUUCUAGAAUAUCCUAUUCCCCUCAAUAGGAAUUCUCUCUCUCUCGCCGAUGCUAUUGAAUCCGCUGCUAUUUCAUAUGAGUCACUAUCCAAUUCCAUAACAGAAAGAGAUGGGACUAGAGCUUUUGGCUUUCUAUUUGUUGGCAUUCAAUAAGCUCGUUGCGUUAGAAAGAAUAGGUUUGAACUCUUGUUGCAUGGUACGGUCAGAGAAUAAGCGUAUGAAGAAGAGUUUCUAGGCACUUUUCAAAGGAUCUCCUUCUCAGGGUGGAAAGAAGUACGCAAUAAAGUAAACUGUCCUUUCAAGGGAAGUCGAAAGCACUGACCUUGGUCCAAUUCACCCAUAGGAGGAAAGAGAGGUUUUUCUAUUAUAAGGAAAAGUUUAUUCUCGGACUUUCAGUAAUGCCCUCUCCCCUUUGGUCCUCUUUGGCUGUGUCCAAGUGAAGUGAAACUCGGGAAUGAAGCAGAUAGGUCUCAGUCGAAGGCAUGAAGCGAUGGGAUGAUAUGGAAGAAGAUUCAGUGAUCCCAGCAGGGUCAAUCUCAUAGGGGAAGUCCGCUAGUGCACUUAGCGGCUUGAAAACGACUUUAUAAAGGUGCGGAGCGAAAGCAGAAGCUAUGGAAUGUGGAUCGGGAUUAGAGCAAGUUCCGUUCUGGGUGAAUCACGAAAGGAAGUUCCGGGAGUUCUGUUUGCCUAGUUGGAAUCGAAGGAGAAGGUGAGGCAUUGCCGAUCAUGCAUGGAUGAGAGACCCGGCAUGAAGGAAUGAACAAGAUAAUCAGGGGCAACUGUCAGCAAAUCAAAUAAGGCUUUACUUUUUGGAAUUAGAGAAUAACUUCUUCGCGUGAGCGGCGUACGUACAAGGCUGUUCGGACUCCCCCCCUCUUGUAUGAGGUGCGUUGCCAUCGUCUCUUUCCCCUUUGCCAGGUUACGCGGCAUGGAUUCGCCGAUUGACGAAUCGGAUCUUGGCUCGCUGUCCCACCGACGAACCAGUCUAGAAGUCGAAAGGGAAGGCAAUAGAAAGGGGUCUCCCUCUCUUUGUCUUCUUCUCGCCGCUUUUCUCGUCCAUCCUGCCCUGCGCCGCUUACAGAUUCAGUUGCAGGUAUCUAAGCAUCCAUUAGUUAAGGGGGUUGGGGCGCGAAGCGCAAACCGCUCUUCGAUCUCCCGGUGAGUUGGACGGGAAGAGACAUAGGGGGUUAUCUAUGAAGCAUUUUAAUUGCCCCUUUCUUUUGGAAUAGUUGAAAGUCCUCUUCUUAGGGGAUUUUCUUUUUUCUUAUCAACAUAGAGUUGGAACUUAGCCGAUGGACGAGUGGACCAGUGUGAAGCUUUAGUUUCGUUGCCGGCCAGAGCUCCUAGCCGACGACCGGCUACCCCUUUCGAGCUCAGCUGACCCCUUCUUGAUUCCGUNUUUUUUCCAUUUGAGAUAGAUGAAUCAAUGGAACUUUGAUCCCCGGUUCCUGCUUGGUCUAAUGUCUGGGUGCGUAUGGCGGUACACUGAGAGCACCUUUCAAGUCGGCUGAAAAAGAAAGAAAAAAGGCUUUCGUCGUCUUUUUCCCGCUUUCACCUUCGAUUGCGAAGGGCUUUUUUUCCGGUUUUCAAUUCCUCUCCGGCGAGGUUUGAACUUCGCGUGGUGGGAAGGCCUUCACGAUUCGCAUCUUCCCGUCCAGCAAAGAAAGUGAAGGGGCGCGGACAGCGAGUUGGAGGACGCUGCAGAACCGCGUGAUUGAUCCAUCUGCGCUAUUCCCUAAUUGAAGAAAGUUGUAAAGCCUUCAGAGCCUCAGUCCCUACCAUUUUUUUUUAAGAAAAUGAAAGCUGACUAGCAAUCGCUCGUUUUUCUUAUUAGCAUGGGAUUGGAUGUUAAUAAUGAAAUAAAAACAUAUAUAGAUAUUAGAAGAGAAGGCAAUCCCCGUGGAAUUCCUAUCGAUUUCCGAUGGAUAACAAUCCAUCUUUCUCGCUUUCGCUCUUUCUCCCAAUCAGUCGCGAGGGUUCCGGGCAUGAGAACGCAAGUGCCGGAAUCAAACAAAAGGUCCGAACGUCCGAGGACGAAAGAGAAAAUGCUCCGCGGGGAAGUCGUUUCCAUCUAGGAUAGCGUAUUCGUGCCGGUUAGACGUCGGCCAUGAAAUCCAUCACUAUACCGAGCAAAUCAUGGGCAUUCACAUCUCGGUCAAAGGGAACUGUGCGCGAUUCUCUCGUGAAUCGCCUUCAGCAAGGUAUGGCAUUCAGGGUCUUAACCCAGGGAUAAAUCUUUCUUCAUAGAUACAAGACAUUCGUUGCUGAUCUAAAAAAGAUCUUCUCCCGUGGGCGUUAGCGGACGUUUUUCAUUUUUCACUCGGUCCUGACUUCCCAAAGCAAAGGUUUUUUUUAGGUUUACUUUGGAAAGGCGCUAAACAGGCCUAUAGGUUCGCCUUUCUAUUUAUAAUAGAAGAAGUCUAAUAUAAUUAGUAUAGAAGUCUAUAUAAUUAGCCAAAUCGUCUGAAGCAUGAACAGAAUCGCCUUUGUUCCGAAGGCCUAGCGAGUUAAGCGAGUUCCUUUUUUCUUUUUUCAAAGGCAGUCCUUUUCUUUCCCCGGACCGAUGACUCGCUUGUUCAGUACUGCUAACUCUUAUUGGAGGAUUCCGUCCCCUCGGGACUACCAGUAGCUUCGGUUGUUGAAUCUCGUGCAAGUUAGGUUGUGGUUGUAUUGGCUGCAAGCGGAACGUAGGCGCUUUAGGUGUGUGUUGGCCAUGCACUCUCGCGUCGUGUNNNNNNNNNNNNNNNNNNNNNNNNNNNNNNNNNNNNNNNNNNNNNNNNNNNNNNNNNNNNNNNNNNNNNNNNNNNNNNNNNNNNNNNNNNNNNNNNNNNNNNNNNNNNNNNNNNNNNNNNNNNNNNNNNNNNNNNNNNNNNNNNNNNNNNNNNNNNNNNNNNNNNNNNNNNNNNNNNNNNNNNNNNNNNNNNNNNNNNNNNNNNNNNNNNNNNNNNNNNNNNNNNNNNNNNNNNNNNNNNNNNNNNNNNNNNNNNNNNNNNNNNNNNNNNNNNNNNNNNNNNNNNNNNNNNNNNNNNNNNNNNNNNNNNNNNNNNNNNNNNNNNNNNNNNNNNNNNNNNNNNNNNNNNNNNNNNNNNNNNNNNNNNNNNNNNCGUCGUGUAAUGUCGUAUGUAUGAUAGAGGUGGUGUGGUGAUUGACCUCAAUGCUAAUGGUUAUCCCCAAGGUUCAACGAAUGAAUGAAGCUAUGCUAUGAUCGUACCCGGAUAGAGAUGAUAGUCUUCCUCUGAUGUAUCCAAGCCGGCCAUAAUAGAAUCGAUAGGCGAAGCAGCCAAUAGCAGUCUGUUCUCGCCUAUCGAUAGAUAGCAGGUUGCUUCCAAGCUCAAACCAUUUGAAACGGAAUUGCUACUUUUUUCUUGUUAUUGAUAGAGUGGUAUUCUCCGCCCCUGUCAAAGAAAGUAGAGGGAGAGUCUUUCUCCAAUGAGAAUAAAGAAAGUUUUUGGGCAAGACAAGAAAGGAACUCGCCCUUUGACACCAAGGGAUAAGAGCGGAUUGCUGGCGAUGACUUGGUGAAGGGAAUCUAUGAGAGAAGGUUCUCGACGAACCGGGUUCCGACCGAAUAGAGCGCGGAGCCAACGAGUUCAGUCGAACAACGUAACGAGUCUAAGGGCGCUUGAAAGGGGGCGAAGGAAAAUGAAAUAUGAAAUAAAAAGAUGCUUUGGGAGUGUGAGAUAGGCGGACGGGGAGUACGCAGCCGAACAACCGCAGGGGCUUCCAGCAGUGAUAGCUGAACUAACCAGAUGGGCCGCCCAAAACCUGGAGCUGACAUUGAAAUCGGAAAUCAACGUCGGACCCCGGCUAUCCGAAGAAGGCAGACUGAAGCGGAGGAGCAGAAAAUGCAACACAACAAGGGGCGAACCAAAGGCUUGCGCGAAGGAAGAAGCGAAUCAAUCAGAAUGGAGACAGGGAGGAGAGGUAAAAGAUAGAUUUUCGAGCCUGAACAUAUAAGCAACCUUCUAUCUGGCCUCUGUACCAGUAGUGGAGUGGCUUGCUAUUUUCAAUCAGAAAAGGAAGAUUGAGCAAUGCAAAGGAGAAAGAAGUUGUCCCCUCUUAUCUGGUAACCCGCCGCCGCAUAUGUCGAAAAAGAGGGAGCGGGGAAGGAAGAACAACCGUUUUACUUUGGCACAUGAGGUGGCGGGUUUGGCUAGGUAACAUAAUGGAAAUGUAUCGGACUGCAAAUCCUGGAAUGACGGUUCGACCCCGUCCUUGGCCUCGAGGAGUGGUGAGCAGCACGGAACUUGAAUCAAUCUUUUGGCAUAUAAUAUAGGGGGCUAGAAAUCCACAGACAACAUUCUGGAACUUCCAAACCAAAGAAAUGCAACAGGAAAUGAAAUGUUACGCUUCAAUAGAAUGAAUUCGGUAGUAUUCUACCCUAUGGUAGAUCGAAGGUCCUGUGCCACUUGAACUCAAAUCUAUCUUACCUUCAAUCCAUCGUUGUCCAGCCAAGCCAGCCCAUAACAAAAUGUUAGACCGGCUGACACAACCGAAUUGGUUGAGGAAAAGGAAAGCCCAGCGACCAAGCACUCCCGCCCCCAAAAGCGGAGACCGAAGAACCGCCAGGUUGUCGAGGACACGUCUGAAGAGGAGGCCGGCGGCCUCUAAGUUUACCACCCUACCCACUAAUGGACUCUGAGGGGGGAAGGUGAACGGGAACCGACCGAAAACCCGAACCGCUUGACCCCUUCAUACUCGAUUCAUUAGGGUUGGGGAUGGAUGGAACCAAUCAGAAGUGAAAAUCGCGCAAGCGAAGCCGGGAAACGGACCGCAGCGCAACGACUAGGACUCGUGUCGGAGGACUUUUGAGCGUGAGCUACCACUCAUGCAGCGACAAGGACCCGCAACUCUCGAAGGGGCCACCAACCACCCGAAUCACUGUAGCAAACCCUCCCUUGACUUUACUCAAUGGAUAGCGCUUAUUCUCUUUCAAUCAACAAAAUGAGAAAUGGGGGAGAAAGAAAGAGGUCUUUAUUGAAGAGGCUUUGCACCCGGAAUAGGACUAAUGCAGAUCCAGAAGAAUGGGUCUGGGCUUUCGAAAAGAUGAAUAUGCAAAGGGUAAGGUAAAGAGAAAGUCUUUUGAACAACCAACCUGACAUAAGGAUUCUAGCUCGCCCACUUAGAGCAGAUGGAGAUUCUCGGACGGGGAAAAGCGGCACUCGACAUCUAUUAAACAAGACCAAGAACAAAGCCAUACCAUGCCCUCGGGAGAAACUAGUGAUGAUUGCCAUGAAUGCAGCCCUCGAGGACGUGUACAAGAAGGUCUUUGCCGAUUCCUAUCAACAUGGUAGAGGGGCGUGAAAAGGCCGUGG